rnacentral:rRNA from 1 species
GCCUGCCCUGUGACCCCAAGUUUAACGGCCGCGGUAUCCUGACCGUGCAAAGGUAGCGCAAUCACUUGUCCCUUAAAUGAGGACCUGUAUGAAUGGCAUAACGAGGGCUUAACUGUCUCCUUUCCCCAGCCAAUGAAAUUGAUCUUCCCGUGCAGAAGCGGGAAUACUAACAUAAGACGAGAAGACCCUAUGGAGCUUUAGACACUAGGACAGACCAUGUCAGCUACCCCCACAAAGAAGUAGUAAUAAUUGAACCCCUGUCCUCCGUCUUCGGUUGGGGCGACCACGGGGAAUAAAAAAACCCCCACGUGGAUCGGGAGUACACCACUCCUAUAACCACGAGCCACCGCUCUAAAUAACAGAAUUUCUGACCAAAAAGAUCCGGCAACGCCGAUCAACGGACCCAGUUACCCUAGGGAUAACAGCGCAAUCCUCUUCAAGAGUCCAUAUCGAC